GACGGAGGGUGCUAGCGUUGUUCGGAUUUACUGGGCGUAAAGGGCGCGUAGGCGGCCUGAUCAGUCGGGUGUGAAAGCCCGGGGCUCAACCCCGGAACGGCACCCGAGACGGUCAGGCUGGAGACCGGGAGAGGAGGGUGGAAUAGCCAGUGUAGAGGUGAAAUUCGUAGAUAUUGGCUGGAACACCGGUGGCGAAAGCGGCUCUCUGGCCCGGUUCUGACGCUGAGGCGCGAAAGCGUGGGGAGCGAACAGG
rnacentral:rRNA from 1 species